rnacentral:rRNA from 1 species
GAUGAACGCUGGCGGCGUGCCUAAUACAUGCAAGUCGAGCGAACGGACGAGAAGCUUGCUUCUCUGAUGUUAGCGGCGGACGGGUGAGUAACACGUGGAUAACCUACCUAUAAGACUGGGAUAACUUCGGGAAACCGGAGCUAAUACCGGAUAAUAUUUUGAACCGCAUGGUUCAAAAGUGAAAGACGGUCUUGCUGUCACUUAUAGAUGGAUCCGCGCUGCAUUAGCUAGUUGGUAAGGUAACGGCUUGCCAAGGCAACGAUGCAUAGCCUACCUGAGAGGGUGAUCGGCCACACUGGAACUGAGACACGGUCCAGACUCCUACGGGAGGCAGCAGUAGGGAAUCUUCCGCAAUGGGCGAAAGCCUGACGGAGCAACGCCGCGUGAGUGAUGAAGGUCUUCGGAUCGUAAAACUCUGUUAUUAGGGAAGAACAUAUGUGUAAGUAACUGUGCACAUCUUGACGGUACCUAAUCAGAAAGCCACGGCUAACUACGUG